AUUAAACGCUGGCGGCAUGCCUUACACAUGCAAGUCGAACGGUAGCGCGGGGCAACCUGGCGACGAGUGGCGAACGGGUGAGUAAAGCAUCGGAACGUGCCCUGGAAUGGGGGAUAACGUAGCGAAAGUUACGCUAAUACCGCAUAUUCUGUGAGCAGGAAAGCAGGGAAUCGCAAGACCUUGCGUUCUGGGAGCGGCCGAUGUCGGAUUAGCUAGUUGGUGGGGUAAAAGCCUACCAAGGCGACGAUCCGUAGCGGGUCUGAGAGGAUGAUCCGCCACACUGGGACUGAGACACGGCCCAGACUCCUACGGGAGGCAGCAGUGGGGAAUUUUGGACAAUGGGCGGAAGCCUGAUCCAGCUAUGCCGCGUGAGUGAAGAAGGCC
rnacentral:rRNA from 1 species